GAUGAGCGCUGGCGGCGUGCCUAAUACAUGCAAGUCGAGCGAACAGACGAGGAGCUUGCUCCUCUGACGUUAGCGGCGGACGGGUGAGUAACACGUGGAUAACCUACCUAUAAGACUGGGAUAACUUCGGGAAACCGGAGCUAAUACCGGAUAAUAUAUUGAACCGCAUGGUUCAAUAGUGAAAGACGGUUUUGCUGUCACUUAUAGAUGGAUCCGCGCCGCAUUAGCUAGUUGGUAAGGUAACGGCUUACCAAGGCAACGAUGCGUAGCCGACCUGAGAGGGUGACCGGCCACACUGGAACUGAGACACGGUCCAGACUCCUACGGGAGGCAGCAGUAGGGAAUCUUCCGCAAUGGGCGAAAGCCUGACGGAGCAACGCCGCGUGAGUGAUGAAGGUCUUCGGAUCGUAAAACUCUGUUAUUAGGGAAGAACAAAUGUGUAAGUAACUAUGCACGUCUUGACGGUACCUAAUCAGAAAGCCACGGCUAACUACGUG
rnacentral:rRNA from 1 species